rnacentral:rRNA from 1 species
AGUGAACGCUGGCGGUAGGCCUAACACAUGCAAGUCGAACGGCAGCACAGUAAGAGCUUGCUCUUACGGGUGGCGAGUGGCGGACGGGUGAGGAAUACAUCGGAAUCUACUUUUUCGUGGGGGAUAACGUAGGGAAACUUACGCUAAUACCGCAUACGACCUACGGGUGAAAGCAGGGGAUCUUCGGACCUUGCGCGGUUGAAUGAGCCGAUGUCGGAUUAGCUAGUUGGCGGGGUAAAGGCCCACCAAGGCGACGAUCCGUAGCUGGUCUGAGAGGAUGAUCAGCCACACUGGAACUGAGACACGGUCCAGACUCCUACGGGAGGCAGCAGUGGGGAAUAUUGGACAAUGGGCGCAAGCCUGAUCCAGCCAUGCCGCGUGGGUGAAGAAGGCCUUCGGGUUGUAAAGCCCUUUUGUUGGGAAAGAAAAGCAGCAGGUUAAUACCCCGCUGUUCUGACGGUACCCAAAGAAUAAGCACCGGCUAACUUCGUG